AUGAUGGCAUCUUCAUCAGGUCAACCUGCGAAGCCUGGGAAGAGUGUUGGUGAGGAGUUCGUUGAUCAUCGACUGCUCAGUCGAAAUGUUCGUUAUCCUGAUUCAAAAAAUUUGCCAAGACCCCUGGACAUGGCGGCAUACUUCGAGGAUGAUCCUCCCUGUCAAACAACACACUGCACUAAUGUGGCAGUUGAGCAGCACAAUAAAAAACAGAAGGGUGGUAAGCUAAAGAUAAAGCGUGCUGUUGGAGUUCAUAGCAACAUGUUCGUUUUGGACCAGAAUGACCCAGUGAGUUAUUGGCAUGUUUACUUCAAAGGGCACGAUGGGAGAAGAAGAAGACGGUACAGGUACUUUGCCGAGUUGAGCGGGGUAAAAGGGCCUGAGUUGCUGACAUUUUGCGAAGUCGUGGAUAAAGCUAAUGUUGUGUACUGCCCGCACUGCUUUGGAGGAAUAUAUCACCCCCCAACCACAGAAUCCGGUUCAGCGUCGGAUCGUAGGCUGAACAGUGUAGCAUUGGGUGAAGCUAUACGUGGCCCCGGCAGAAAGAGAAAGGAGGCUGUCAGCUCCAUUGAUUCGAUUCAGGCCUAG
rnacentral:rRNA from 1 species